rnacentral:rRNA from 1 species
AGAAGAUGGACCCGUUUCAUUUCCCUGGACCUGCUGCAGCAGUCAUGUUCCGCUCACCCAUGCUCCUACUGCUCACCUUCCUCCUCUCUAGCACCACCACUAUAGCUGCCGAAAUCCCGCCGUCGUGCGAGCCAGCGUCGUGCGGCGACCUCCGCAUCACGUACCCCUUCUGGCUCGGCGGCACGCACCCGCCCGAGUGUGGCUACCACGCCUUCCGGGUCACCUGCGACCACCGCGCCGGCAGCAAGGCCUUACUCCAGCACUCAGUUUCCACGUACCAGAUCCUCGACAUCUCCUAUCAAGACAGCUCGUUGCGGAUCAAAAACGUUGAGCUCUCGGACGGCAUGUGCAACCCCAAGCUCCAUGCGAACGCCUCCUCCAACCUCGGCCUCGCGCCCUUCGGCAUCAGCGCCGCCAACCAGGAGCUCUUCUUCCUCUACAACUGCAGCGCCCUGCCGCCUCCGCCUACAUGGGCGCCCAUGUACUGCGCCACUGGAUCCAAGCGGCCGCUCAACAAUUCGUUUGCGUGGCUUGCUGGGGCAUACAAGCUAGACGACAUUUCGAGGCAGGUGCACUGGAACUGCACGGCGUCCAUGAUGCCAGUGCUCGGGUACAAGGGGGCGACCGGGGUGGACUACCAGCGGCUGAUGGAGGGCGGGUUCCUUCUUGAGUACACGGCCGGCGACUGUGUGGCGUGCAUGGAGAGCCGAGGAAUUUGCCGGACUAAUAUCACCAACGAUAUCUUCGAGUGCCACUGCCCCGACGGAAUUUCUUCGUCCAACAUCUGCGCUAUCAUGGAGACCGGCACGAAGAUUGUACUAAUAGGUAUGCUAGAAUAUUUGUCAUUUUUUCAGAUGUAAUAUUUAAAUAUCAGUAAUUCACUAACAGUGAUUUUGUGUAUGAAAUGGUAACUUUAGAAUUAUCAUGUCAGUAACAAUUGAAAUUUGAUCUAAAAUUAAAAUCUGCAACAAACUCUCAGUUUGUUCAUAAUACAAGACCGUUAAAUUUAUCGUAUUUACCCGUUGCUUGGUUUUGACACGGUGUAAAGGAAAAAAAACUAUUAAUGGCCUUGGAAAUCAUAAUGACUGUAAUAUAGCUUGUAUUUAAAGGAAGUAACAUCUGCUUGCGUCUCAGUUUUGGCAGUAACAGCUGCAACCUUGAUCUCCCUCUGUUUUUAUCUGCUGAGGCAUAUAAAGGUAAGACUAUGGAUUCCCCUUAGCAAGAAGACUAGCAGCAACACCGAAAAGAAUUAUGAGGCCAUGAUUGCAGCAUAUGGAUCCCUAGCUCCUACAAGAUACAUCUACUCGGAGGUAAUGAAGAUAACAUAUUCUUGUAAGAAACAACUUGGAAAAGGUGGUUAUGGUGUGGUUUUCAAAGGAAGGCUACAGGAUGGUCGUUUGGUUGCUGUGAAAUUCUUGCAUGAUUGCAAAGGAAACGGAGAAGAGUUUGUGAAUGAGGUUCUGAGCAUUGGAAGGACCUCUCAUGUUAAUGUUGUUAGCUUAUUUGGGUUUUGUUUCGAGGGAUCAAAGCGAGCUCUUAUAUAUGAGUAUAUGCCUAAUGGUUCCUUGGAUAAGUACAUUUACUCACAAAACCCCAAAGAAAUUUUAGGAUGGGAGAGGCUCUAUGUAAUAGCAAUCGGGAUUGCUCGUGGCCUUGAGUACUUACACCAUAGAUGUAAUACUCGUAUUGUCCAUUUCGAUAUGAAGCCUCAAAAUAUCCUUCUAGACAAGGAUUUUAGCCCAAAGAUUGCUGAUUUUGGUCUAGCUAAAUUAUGUCAUACAAAGGAGAGUGAGCUUUCAAUGACCGGUACUAGAGGAACAAUUGGGUUCAUCGCUCCGGAAAUCCACUCUCGAACCUUUGGAGUUGUUUCAACAAAAUCAGAUGUUUAUAGUUAUGUAAUGAUGUUGUUGGAGAUGGUUGGAGGUAGGAGAAAUGUCAAAUCAAUUGUGAACAAAUCUAGCGAAAAGUAUUUUCCAGAUUGGAUUUACGACCACUUUGCCCAAGAUGAAGGAUUAAAAGUAUGUGAAGUUACAAGCGAAGUUGAGGAAAUUGCGAGAAAGAUGACCUUAAUUGGCUUGUGGUGCAUACAAGUAUUACCUAUAUAUCGCCCUACUAUAACAAAAGUUCUAGAAAUGUUUGAGAAAAGCUUGGAUGAUUUGGACAUGCCACCAAAGCAGAGCUUCUAUGAACUACUUGAGAGUCCAACUAAUAAUAUGGAAGUACAAAGUGUAUGGUCUGAGACUGAGGAGAUUGAAACAUUGGAGAUACGCCAUGUCAAGGGUAUGCCCCCCACAAGGGAUAUUGCCUAGGAGGUGCCAUGCGUCGAGGAGGGGCACACGAUGAGGGUAAGCCCCGUGAAGAGGGUAUGUUACUGUCACGGCUAUGGAAUAUUUCACCUAUGCAGCACCACCAACAAAGAUUACUCGCCAGAGGAUAUUGUGUCAGGAUAAUCCUCUGUGAGUAGCUGUAAAGACCACAAUUGCCCGCAUAAUCCACCCCCUCCAUCCUCUCCAUUUAUCCAGUGGGUUCCCCCAAGUUUACAGUCUAGUCACGAUUGUAAACACACGUUGUGAAUCCACAAGUGGCACGGUGAUUUCCAAUUAUUUAGCUGUACUACAGUACAUCGGGAAAUUAAACCAGCGCAACAGAAUUCUACAUUGUAUCACAAAAUAUAUUUGCAUGACCUAGAGUUGAGGGCAUCCGCAUCAAAAAAAGAAUAUCAGUUUUGUGUUCUCAAGUUCUAGCCACUAAUGGUAGACAAGCUACCAAGACCUUCAGAACUAGAAAUUUUCUCGAGAUCACAAUAAACACAAUUUUGACCCUAGUUGUGGC